rnacentral:lncRNA from 1 species
AGUGCCAGCCGGGCAGUGGCCUGGAGACCACGGGGCAGAGCCGGAGCGCCAUGCUCCUCUCUGCGUGGCUGUGCUGCGUGUGGACGAGUCCUCAGAAAGAGAAAAACUGCUCUCCUGAGGGUGGCACCCUGGCAUAUGGAAGUUCCUGGGGGGCCAGGGACUGAAUCCAAGCGGGGCGGCAACGUUGGAUCCUUUAACCUGCUGCACCAGGCCUGGAAUGGAACCCACGCUUCACCAGCAACCUGAGCCGCUGCAGUGGGGUUCUCAACCCACUGUGCCCUAGUGGGAACUCCACGCCUCCUCAUUUUAGAAUUAAGAGGUCCACUGUUCUGUUUUUCGAGUGUAUUCCUGAAUGAAAUCUUUGAAAACAGGUCAUAGGGAUCGCUUCGAUUCCUGGAUGAGUUCAAGCAAUCACUUGUCUCCGAUUCUGAUGUUCAGAACAGGUGGUCCAGGUGGGGACAUUCGCCUGAAGCCACACCUGCAGAACCGGAAUGGCGUGCAGACUGGACGCUCCGGGAGGCAGAGGGUUUGGGGCUCCUCCAGGCCUGGUCUCAGUGCUCACACAGUCAGUGCCCAGGCCCGCGAAGAUGCGCCAGGACUGUAUGCCUUAGUAGAGUGAAGGGCUGCUUGUCUGAAGUUUCCACGGAACAGGAGGGCACCCUAAUCUGGAGGUGGGCAUCAAUGCUUUUUUUUUCCUAAGUUAUGUCUCCAAACCGGGUGGCUACUUUGGCGAGACCCCAAACACCCAACGACCAGCCAAAUCAAACCCCCAGACACCCUUCAAGCUUCCCCAUCGACGGCUGGGAGCCACAGCAGAGCGUGUCCCCGCUCUGAGGGGCAGCCUUAAACUUCCGAAGCUGACUGGCCGCGGCCCUGACCCGCUCCUUCCCUCUGAAACGCAGGCCCGCGUCUCCCGCUGGCCUCCCUCCCUUUGGGGGUGGUUUCUUGCCGCCGCCUCCGUGGGGGUUUGUGUGUAGCACGGUGGCAUCAAGAAAAAAGCGAACACUUACGUGGUGCUUGCUGCCCUUUGAGACAGUUCUUCUUUGACGAAGGCCUUGCCCCUGUGUGGCCAGAAUCCCAGCCGGCCUGACUUGGGAUUAACGGUGUCCAUUCGUGGAGGAAGGUGGGGGCAGGUGCGUCAGAGCACGUGCUGCCCGUCAGACGGCUCAGCUGAUGACCCUGUGCCGGAAAAGGACUCGGCUGGCAUGGCCCCUCGCGGGGACAGGUGCUCAGGCACAGAGUGGGUCCCUUCGGCAAAGGAUGACGCCCGGGCAUGAAUAUGUAUGUUUUGAGGAAGGAGUGACAGUGGAGACAGGACAAAGGACCGCAGCCAGGGCCCCCUCCCCAAGGCCUAUAAUGACACCAGGAGCCAGAGCUUCCUUGAGGAAAGCUGGUCCUGCUCACUUUUCGAGGUGAAACUGCACCUGAAGCCACGUUCCUGCGACGGGAACACUGCGGGCUCCUUCUGGCAGCAUCAUCAACACGACGUCUUUAUGCUGACUGCAUCCUCUGUCCAGAGACGUCGGAAAAAACAGGAUGAGCCCCGUGGGUCUAAAGAGGACGCUCCACUUCCUUUCUCAAAACCUUCCGCCGUGUCCUCCCACCUUUGGUCUUGAAUUCUAGAAGAUGGAUCUGCUGGCCCCGGACCCAAGAAGACAGUGCGCCACGGGUCUUUUCCACAGCAGCUCCGUCUCACGAAACACAGGUGCUUUUUACCGGAUCUUUCCUGCGGCAUUUAAAAAAAUCUGCCCUGCACUUUGCCACAUUGAGUUUUUCCAUCCCCAAGGCACCGCUGCGAGCUGGUGGGAGGGGAAAGCGUUAAGUUCUCUUAGGCCUGCGGAGAGGAGAGGUCGACAGGUCCUGAAUCACACAGGGACUCAGAAUACCUGCCUGGGCGGUUUCUGAGUCAGUUUGAGGGCUGGCUGUUUAUACAGCAGGAGGUAUUUCUUCAUUUGGGGAGCUUCAUUUGGGGGGGGGGGCUCACUGAGUGUUUACUCCCUGCUCCCAAGCCAACAAAGUGAAAACAAAAAUAUAUUCAGCAAAGUGUGUAG